UCGGAAUUGCUAGUAAUCGCGGAUCAGCAUGCCGCGGUGAAUACGUUCUCGGGCCUUGUACACACCGCCCGUCACACCAUGGGAGUCGGUAACACCCGAAGUCUGUAGCCUGACGCAAGAGGGCGCAGCCGAAGGUGGGAUUGAUGACUGGGGUGAAGUCGUAACAAGGUAUC
rnacentral:rRNA from 1 species